rnacentral:misc_RNA from 1 species
AAGUCGUAACAAGGUUUCCGUAGGUGAACCUGCGGAAGGAUCAUUAAUGAGUUAGGGUCUCCGGGCCCGACCUCCAACCCUUUGUUGUCACAAAACCAAUUGUUGCUUUGGCGUGGACCGCCCGCGAGGGCUGCCGGUCUUAGGCCCGGCAUGCGCCGCAGCGAAACAACUCUUGUUACCAACGUCGUCUGAGUAAAAUGAUUAAAUCAAUCAAAA